rnacentral:rRNA from 1 species
GGUAAUACGUAGGGUGCGAGCGUUAUCCGGAAUUAUUGGGCGUAAAGAGCUCGUAGGCGGUUUGUCCGCGUCUGUCGUGAAAGUCCGGGGCUUAACCCCGGGAUCUGCGGUGGGUACGGGCAGACUAGAGUGCAGUAGGGGAGACUGGAAUUCCUGGUGUAGCGGUGGAAUGCGCAGAUAUCAGGAGGAACACCGAUGGCGAAGGCAGGUCUCUGGGCUGUAACUGACGCUGAGGAGCGAAAGCAUGGGGAGCGAACAGGAUUAGAUACCCUGGUAGUCCAUGCCGUAAACGUUGGGCACUAGGUGUGGGGACCAUUCCACGGUUUCCGCGCCGCAGCUAACGCAUUAAGUGCCCCGCCUGGGGAGUACGGCCGCAAGGCUAAAACUCAAAGGAAUUGACGGGGGCCCGCACAAGCGGCGGAGCAUGCGGAUUAAUUCGAUGCAACGCGAAGAACCUUACCAAGGCUUGACAUGUUCUCGAUCGCCGUAGAGAUACGGUUUCCCCUUUGGGGCGGGAUCACAGGUGGUGCAUGGUUGUCGUCAGCUCGUGUCGUGAGAUGUUGGGUUAAGUCCCGCAACGAGCGCAACCCUCGUUCCAUGUUGCCAGCACGUAAUGGUGGGGACUCAUGGGAGACUGCCGGGGUCAACUCGGAGGAAGGUGGGGACGACGUCAAAUCAUCAUGCCCCUUAUGUCUUGGGCUUCACGCAUGCUACAAUGGCCGGUACAAUGGGUUGCGAUACUGUGAGGUGGAGCUAAUCCCAAAAAGCCGGUCUCAGUUCGGAUUGGGGUCUGCAACUCGACCCCAUGAAGUCGGAGUCGCUAGUAAUCGCAGAUCAGCAACGCUGCGGUGAAUACGUUCCCGGGCCUUGUACACACCGCCCGUCAAGUCACGAAAGUCGGUAACACCCGAAGCCGGUGGCCUAACCCUUGUGGGGGGAGCCGUCGAAGGUGGGACCAGCGAUUGG